rnacentral:rRNA from 1 species
AAUAGCCUAACGGCUGAACCAGCAACUUGGAGGAAUGUAUAGCGAAAGCUAGUUUUGACAUCGGUUUACCCGAAUAAAAUUCUAGGCAAAAUUAUGAUAAUGACAUUAUUUUUAUAUGUCUUGACCAAGUUACGUGCCAGCAGUCGCGGUAAUACGUAAGAGACUAGUGUUAUUCAUCUUUAUUAGGUUUAAAGGGUACCUAGACGGUAAAUCAAGCCUACUAAUUUAUAGAGUUAUAUAUGAGAGAGCUUUAAGGUACUGGUGUGGAGAGAUAAAAUUCUUUGAUACCUAUAGGCACGGAUUAAGGCGUAGGCAUCUCUUUAUGUGUUAACUGCGUUGAAGGACGAAGGA